AAAAUCACGUAGCGCGUCUUCAGCGGAAAUCUCGCGAAUGCGCAUGCUCGAGAAUGCUUGCGCAUUCGCGUAAAUUCCGCAGCUGCCGUCGGCUAUACCUGGUGAAUCUGCGAGAAGUGGAAAGAACGCAGGUGCAGUGUGACGUCAAACGACGACGAAAUACUACAGCUUCAAGGUUCAACUGUGGGAAGUUCGCGAAUGAACGAGCAUUCCCGUGAAUGCUCGAGCAUUCCAGCGGACGCGCGCAUCUUCUCGCGCAACGAGGUGAAUUUGACGCUUCCAUUCCAUUCCGUUCCGCCGCAAUGUAAAUUGAGCCUACGCAGCACCUCUUCUCGAUGAUGGUCCACCUGACGCCCCUCGAGGGACACCGGCGGGACCGCCUACCUAUCACGGAAACGAAAAAGUCAACUUCCGGAAAAAGCGACGUGUAAUCCUUCUAACAAGUGGACCAUAUAAAGCUGCGCACGAACACGAAAUAUAUCACUUUAAAGGUUAAUACCAAUCUGUAAUCUAAAAAUCUGUAAUCUAAUAAAACUACUAAUCAGGUGCCAAUUUUGACAUCAUUCUGUAAUAACAACUACUAAUCAUGUUCCAAUUUUAAUACCAAUCUGUAUACCGUAUAACUCGGCCCUUUUGGGGUAAGUGUCUGGACUAUUUAUGUUAAUCCGUAGUAAGAGAGUGUUUUAUACUAUAGUAUCUGUUUUUAUAUACCUUUUCUUGUCUUGUUAUAGCCUUUUUCUUUAUC